rfam:Enterococcus sp. 4G2_DIV0659 scaffold00001, whole genome shotgun sequence.
GUAAAUCUGUGAUGUACGCGUUGUCUUUUUUGUGUGUUGACCGAACAUUUUAUUGAUAUCUAGGGAUCCUUCUGGUACCUAAGCUGGUAACAUGCCUUAUCAUUUGGUAGUUCGAAGUUGAUGGUCGUGGAACCCACCUGCUUUGUUUGCGGGUUCAAUACUAUAGGACGAAUAACGGCAUCGACGGAUUUUAC